AGAGUUUGAUCAUGGCUCAGGAUAAACGCUGGCGGCGUGCCUAACACAUGCAAGUCGAACGCUCUUGGCAACAAGAGAGUGGCGGACGGGUGAGUAACACGUGGGGAUCUACCUUGAGGUGAGGAAUACCGGCGAGAAAUCGCCGACAAGACCGCAUACACUUCGCAAGAAGUAAAGUCGCAAGACGCCACAAGAUGACC
rnacentral:rRNA from 1 species